rnacentral:rRNA from 1 species
GACGAACGCUGGCGGCGUGCCUAAUACAUGCAAGUAGAACGCAGUUGCGAACGGGUGAGUAACGCGUAGGUAACUGCCUCAUAGCGGGGGAUAACUAUUGGAAACGUUAUCUAAUACCGCAUACUGUGAGAUGGACGUGCGUUGUAUUCGCUAGUUGGUGAGGUAAAGGCUCACCAGGGCGACGGUAAAUAGCCGACCUGGGAGGGUGAGAGGGCACGCGGGGACUGGGACACGGCCCAGAGGCCUACGGGAGGCAGCAGUAAGGAAUCUGCGGCAAUGGACGGAAGUAUGACCGAGCAACGCCGCGUGAGUGAAGAAGGUUUUCGGAUCGUAAAGCUCUGUUGUUAGAGAAGCGGUAACUAUACAGAAAGGGACGGCUAACUACGUGCCAGCAGCCGCGGUAAUAC